UUUCUUAUUUCCCAUUUUGCACCCUUAAAAUAAAACAUCUCACUCUUUUGUCCCAUGUUUGAAACCAAAGCUGAGCUAGGGUUAUUGAGAAAUCCUCCUCCAAGCUAAUAAAACAUUCUUCCUCCAAAUGUGAAAACUUAUGGUGAUCGUGUGGACGGUGGAGAUGCUACUAUUUAGUUAGGCUCCCUAGAUUAUGCUCAUUGUGAGCCUUUCUUCUUAAGAAUUGUGUUAUUUGUGAUUCCAUGCUCCGUGGAGCAUUCCUUUUGCCAAAUUGAUUUAUAUUUUGAGAUACGUUUAUGACA